UUUUAAACCAUUUUCAUUAGUUUCAUUUCUUUUAUUUCAGAGCAAUAAUGUAGUGUUGUAAUCGUCUGCUGCUCCGCACCACAUACCCACUCCGUAAUAGAGACGAGCCGCUGUCCGUCUCUCCUUACUCUCUCUCUCUCUCUCUCUCUCCGCUGCGGCCACCUCUAGCCGUACCUCCUGUCACGAGUUCCUCCCAUCUAACUAUCUAUCCUCUCCAAACCAACACCGAUUUAAUCCCGAGCUUCUGCAGUAUUUUCCAAGUAGGUGGAAACAGGCACAAGGGAAAACUUUGUCUGCAUAUCCAUAUAUUUUAUUUCCUUCAGUUAUACUUGCAUUUUACAGUGAGCUAAAGAUAGAUCCUACCGAGUAUCAGAUUUUACUCACAGACCCGCCUCUUAAUCCUUCGAAGAACCGUGAAAAAUGGUUGAGACCAUGUUUUAGAAAUACAAUUUUGUUGGGGUCUUCAUUCAAAUUCAAGCUGUAGUAACGUUGUAUGCUGAAGGUGCUUAUAGAGAUGAUUAAAGUAUAAUGCAGAAUCUGGACCUGAAAAGUGAUGGCAUAGGUGUUCUGGCUGGAUUGAUGACUGUAAUCAAGGUCUCAGUUCAGCUCUAAUUGUGACUGAAAUUUGAAUCGUUGGGAGGAAGAAGUUGGUUCCUUGCCAUUUUGAGUUGUAGCAAUCCUCAGAAUGCAUGGGAACCUUAAUACAAUCGUCAGAUCAACAACAAAAACGGCAAAGACAAGAAGCAGUUGUAAAUAGUUUGAUGGGCGCGACUUUUGGUUGCAGCGGCAGGAUGACUACAUCAUGUGAUGGCGAUGGGAUUCUGGUGCAGCGGUGAGUGAUCGGGUUUGUGCAGGCAUGCAGGGCGAGUCAAACUGGUGCAGAUGCAGCAGAUCUUAUACUGGUGCAAGAGUGGUCCAGGCAGGCCUAGAUGCGGGUAUGCAGCGGUGGGGCGUUCAACAACUGGUUUUAGACAGACAACAGAAAUCGAGUUACAGCAACAGCAAAUAGCAGCAUGUGGUUCCCGUGCGGCGGCAUGGUGAAACAAAGCAAUCCUCAGAAUGCAUGGGAACCCCAAUACAAUCGUCAGAUCAACAACAAAAACGGCAAAGACAAGAAGCAGUUGUAAACAGUUUGAUGGGCGCGACUUUUGGUUGCAGCGGCAGGAUGACUACAUCAUGUGAUGACGAUGAGAUUCUGGUGCAGCAGUGAGUGAUCGGGUUUGUGCAGGCAUGCAGGGCGAGUCGAACUGGUGCAGAUGCAGCGGAUCUUAUAUUGGUGCAGGAGUGGUCCAGGCAGGCCUGGAUGCGGGGAUGCAGCGGUGGGGCGUUCAGCAACUGGUUUUAGACGGACGACAGAAAUCGAGUUACAGCAACAGCAAAUAGCAGCGCAUGGUUCCCGUGCGGCGGCUUGGUGAAACAAAGGUUCAGUUUCUUUUUUUUUUAUUCCUUUUUUUUUUCAAACUAUAAAACCCUAAUCCAACGACUGAACAAACCAUAACAAAUAAGAGAACGCGACUAGACAAACAAACUAGUUACCAAGAGCAAAUUCGACCCAAAAAGGAUCAAACUCUGCUCUGAUACCAGGUUGAAUAUCAGAGUGCGCAACGAACAAGACUAAUAAAAUAAUAGGAAUAUUAUUAAACAAACUAGAAUGCCGGAACGGUUACAAAACCCUAAGAGCCUACAUUGUGAAUAACUUAUUAUAAACUGAAUAAUAAGCAUGCUAUUUAUAAUAAACUAACCCUAAUCCUAAGAGGUAAGAAACCGAAACCCUAAUGCUAAUGGGCUAAGCCCAGAAAACCAAACAUCCAAAUAAACUAAAAUCCUAAUAUUUUCCAAAGUAGCUGUUAUGAUUGUGAGAUUGUGUAUGUUGGUUAUUGCUUAACUGAGUGAAUAAAGUCAUCAAAAAAGUAGAUGCCAUGUCAGUGUAUGUCAAUGGGGAGUGUAUGAAAUAUAUGAUUACAUUGAUCAGGGAUAAUGAGUGUAACAGAGUCCUAACUGAGCAAUGUAUGUUAGUGACUCGAUGUAGAUGCUGUGCUUUGAGUUUAGUGAGUUUUUUUGGGCAAGGGUUUUCAAGUUUUUUUUUGUUGAAUUUCUCUUGCUUCGUUUUAUUUUUUCAGAUGUACCACAGUAGUCACCUUCCGUACAGAAGCUUCACAUCCUCCCUUAAUAAUUUGUCUUUCUGUCGAAAUUAUUCAUGUCUUCUUGUAUUACGGUUUCAAAAACGAUUUCGAUAUUGUUCACUCAUCUAUUCCUUUAGUUCGUUUAUGAUUAUGUUGAAUUUUUUUAAGGUUAAAUGUGUCUUAUUCAUGUGGUUAAGGCUGGUGUAUUCAAGUCCUGCAGCAAUGCACAUGCAUUUUUACUAGUAACAAACUACUACUGUGGCCUUUUGAAAACUUCACAUAAUAAUAAACUAUUGUCAGCAUUCAUUCUCAUAA